ACUCAAAGGAAUUGACGGGGACUUGCACAAGCAGUGGAUUAUGUGGUUUAAUUCGAUGGUAAACGAAGAACCUUACCAGGGUUAGAAAUCCUAUUGAAAGGUCUAGGAAACUAGAUCCCUCGCAAGACAGUAGGACAGGUGAUGCAUGGCCGUCGUCAGUUCGUGGUUUGAAUUGUCCCCUUAAGUGGGUUAACGAACGCAACCCUCGUUGUCUGUUACAAGUGUCAGACGAGACCGCCCCCGCUUUUGCGCAGAAAGAAAUUUGUGCGCUGAAGCGGGGGAGGAAGGAGAGGAUGACGCCAGGUCAGCAUGUCCCUUUGAUAUCCUGGGCUACACACAUAAUACAAUGACCGUUACAACGCGAUGCGACGAGGCGACUCUGAGCUAAUCGUCCAAAAACGGCCUCAGUUCGGAUUGGAGUCUGCAACUCGACUCCAUGAAGCUGGAAUUGCUAGUAAUCACAGGUCAGCUAAACUGUGGUGAAUACGUUCUCAAGUCUUGUACACACCGCCCGU
rnacentral:rRNA from 1 species